rnacentral:tRNA from 1 species
GGAUGAGUGACCGAGUGGUUUAAGGUGUUAGUCUUGAAAACUAAAGUGUUUAACGACACCGUGGGUUCGAAUCCCACCUCAUCCU